UUAACAAAUCUGACUAGGAACCAUGAGGUUGCAGGUUUGAUCCCUUGCCUUGCUCAGUGGGUUAAGGAUCUGGCAUUGCUGUGAGCUGUGAUGUAGGUCGAAGAGGCGGCUCGGAUCUCGCGUUGUUGUGGCUCUGGCAUAGGCAGGUGGCUACAGCUCCAAUUCGAUCCCUAGCCUGGGAACCUCCAUAUGCCGCAGGAAGCGGCCCUAGAAAAAGCAAAAAAAAAAAAAAAAAAAAAAAAAGGAAAAGAAAGAAAGAAAAUCAAGCACUAAUUACAGAGAAAACAAACAACUGGGUCAUUAAAGAGGUUAUUAUAUGACCCCCCCAACAAAACCAAACCAAACAAACAAACACUUUUACUUAUAAUUUUCUUUUGCAGAUCUUUUUAUUAUUCUUACCCCCUUUAAUCUUGUAAUUUUUCAGAUAUUUAAAAAUAAUUUCUUAUGCCACCAAGUUGUUUUGAGAUGGUACAUUUUAAAAAAGAGAAAAAUAUGGAGUUCCCAUUGUGGUUCAGUGGUAAUGACCUGACUAGUAUCCAUGAGGAUGUAUGUUCAAUCCCUGGCCUCGCUCAGUGGGUUAAAGGAUCCAGCAUUGUGAGCCGUGGUGUAGGUCACAGACGCUUCUCGAAUCCUGCGUUGCUGUGGCUGGAGCAUAGGCCAGCGGGUGCAACUUCAGUUUGACUCCCAGCCUGGGAACAUCCAUAUGCUGUUUGUGCAGCCCUAAAAAGCAAUAAAUAAAUUAAUAAUAAUAAUGCUCGGAACUGACCCAAUCAAGGAAAGCUGUGAUUUUUCUCAAAGCCUGCUGUUGAGCGUAUUAAGACAAAGUGCCCAGUUUCAUUACGUAAAGGAGAAACUGCAGACAUGGAGUCAACUUUGGGAGUCAGUAGGACUCUCUAAAAAACAGUGUAGUAGUGAACGCAUAUCAAGGUCCUACCAUGAAUUGAGCUUGCUAUUAAAAAGGUAGGUGUCUGUAGGAGUAGAAUAGAAAUGGAGGUGUUUGUGGGGGUGGGUAGGACAGGGGUGGAAGGAAGGGGGAGUGGGGUUGGGGCGAGGAGGAUGGGAAGGGAGAAGCCCCUCUCUGAGCUCAACCCUUGGUAUAAUUCUAAUUUAGGACCCUGUUACUGUUUAGUGUUUUACAUACCCCCAAAUAGCAAACAAUCCCAAUCACCCAGGAUGUGGGAGAGAUCCAAGAUGAAGACGCACAGUCACGGAUCUAAUACAAAUGCUUUCUAUUACCAACUGCAAGGAAGGGGCAUAGAGGGGGGAAAGACCUAACCUCAGUAACUCUGGGCAGCAGUAUUUUGACAGAAUACUAUAAGGCUAAAGACAAAAAAAAUCCAAAAAAACUGUGCAUAAGUGCUAUAUUCCAAAUAGUCAAUGUUUCUUACAGGGCUUUAGGUUAGCAGUUCUGCAAGUGCUGUAUGUAUUGACUAGGACUGAACAAAUAAGUCAAUAUUUUGUAGCUAAUGAGAAUCCAGUUUCUCACUGUCAGAAAAAGAAGGUUACACAUAGGAAAGGGGGAAGACUCAAAUGACUGGUGUUUCAUUGAAGCUGGAGUUAUUAGUGUGAACUCCUAGUUUUAAAUGAAUGGAUGGUUGGAAGGAAGAAUGGAUAGUGGAUAGUAGCCUCAUACAGACAGGUACAUACAUGCAUAAAUAAAUAUGCAUGAGGGCGUGUCAGUGUACAUACCAUACUUCCUAGCUGUGUUCCCUGAGAGGGCAUAAAAGAACUAUCACCCAUGUAGCCAUGAGCAUCCUUAGGGCCGCAGGGCAGGGUUUGUCUAUGAGCAAGGGUACGUUGGUGCCUUGUGAUCAAAUUGUUGUACUAUGUUUUUGUUUCUAAGCGCCAUUGCCUGCUUAAGGUUCAUUCUAGGACCAGGCAGGACUGGAAAAAUACCAGAUGAGCCUGGAAAAACUUGUAGUGCCAGAAUAUAAGGAAGUGUUCCAAAACGGAUGAAGAGUCAUUCCAUAUACCACAGUGUAUGCAUAUGCCAUGACGGGCCAACAGGGACCUGCUGUAUAGCACAGGGAACUCAACCCAAUAUGCUGUGGUAAUCUCUAUGGGAAAAGAAUCUGAAAAGGAACGAGUGUGUGUGUGUGUGUGUGUGUAACUGACUCACUUUGUUGUACAGCAGGAUUUAUCACA
rnacentral:lncRNA from 1 species